GUACACGCUGUGACUAGCAUAUCAAUAAGCGGAGGAAAAGAAACUAACAAGGAUUCCCUUAGUAACGGCGAGUGAAGCGGGAAGAGCUCAAAUUUGAAAUCUUCAAGGUUUUACCUUGACGAAUUGUAGUUUAAAGAAGUGUUUUCUGCUGAAGUUUUGGUAAAAGUUCUUUGGAAUAGGACAUCAUAGAGGGUGAGAAUCCCGUAUUUGACCAUUAUUUUCAGCUUUGUGAUACACUUUCAAAGAGUCGGAUUGUUUGGGAAUGCAGUCCAAAAUGGGUGGUAAAUUUCAUCUAAAGCUAAAUAUUGGCGAGAGACCGAUAGCGAACAAGUACCGUGAGGGAAAGAUGAAAAGAACUUUGAAAAGAGAGGUUAAACAGUACGUGAAAUUGUCAAAAGGGAAGCGUUUGACACCAGUGUUGUUUUCUCGAAAAUCAAUUAAAAAUGGCUCGAUUUUGUAUUGCUGAGACCUUAAAAGCUCACUGUACAUUUUUCGUGUCUUUUUUAAUGCACUUUUCGUUUAACAAGUCAACAUCAGUUUCUUUUGUUGUAAAAGGGUCAUUGGAAGGUGGCUUUCUUUUCGGAGAAAGUGUUUAUAGCCUUUGGCCUCUGCAAUCGAAGAGACUGAGGUCUGCAGCGUAGACUCUUCGGGGUUAGAUACAUUUGUGCUAAGUUAUAGCUUUUUAUAGACAACUUGUUGACUAUAAUUAGUCUUGUAGCUUACUCGCUUAUGUUAUUUUACCUACGCUUAGGAUGUUGAACUACUGAGACAUAGA
rnacentral:rRNA from 1 species